CUGUAGCCACCGGCCUACCCCACAGCCACAGCAACGCCAGAUCCGAGCUGCGUCUGCAACCCACACCACAGCUCACAGCAACGCCGGAUCCUUAACCCACUGAGCGAGGCCAGGGAUCGAACCCGCAACCUCAUGGUUCCCAGUUGGAUUCGUUAACCACUGAGCCACGACGGGAACUCCCAUCAAGGGCUCUACUUCUAAAGAUGCUGUGUGUAGAAAGUUAAAUUCGAGAAAAAUCUGGAGGCAGAAAGAAUGCACCACAUGGUUUUAUGUUUUCUUUUCCUUUUGCAAACACCCAACUGAAAACUGAUUUGUUAAAAGAAAAAGAAAAAAAGUCUGUGCUAUUACACCCAUCGUGCGUUCUUUAUGAACUGGAGUAAAGAGGAGGGAUUUAUUUGAAAGUCAAUAGACUAGAGUAUUUAUGGCUGUACGGCUGUUCCGGAGGUGCUAGUUUAAAUUCAACAUUUUGAAUGGGGUAGAAACAAUCACAUCGGCAUUUGACCAAGGAUACAUUCAUAUGUCAGUUUAAUGCUCCAGCUGUUUAAUCAAAAUAGGAAUAAAAGGUCUAAAGCCCAACAAGCAAAAAUAUCAUAGUUGUGGGAUUCAGCGAUUGCUUCCCCAUUGUCAACCAAUUACUGUGUAAUUUUUCCCUGUGACUGAAUAACUAACUGUUAGCAAAUAAUGAAAAGGCAAUUACAGCGACGCUUUGUUCCUAUUACUCCCUUCAUUUUAUUCCAGCUAUAAUUAUUGUCAGAGCUGGAGGUUUACUGUACCAUGGAAGCAGCACCAGGAUAGAAAAUGGAAUGGGCUGGUGCAUGGAAAAUUGCAAAUGUCACAGCUACCUUCAUCGCCACUGUUGGACUUCGGAGAUUAAAAAAUCAGAGGAAAAAGCUCUCCAUAGAGGAAAUAUGCCACAUAUGGACAGAUAUCUGGAAGAGAAAAUGACUGUGCCCUCUUUGUGCCGUUGCUGGGCCCAAUUUUUAGAAGCUGAUUUUUGCUGA
rnacentral:lncRNA from 1 species